UAGGCAUCAAAGUGGUAGGACUACCCGCUGAACUUAAGCAUAU
rnacentral:rRNA from 3 species